rnacentral:rRNA from 1 species
UAUGUGAUCGUCUCUCGCAUAUCAAUAAGCGGAGGAAAAGAAACUAACAAGGAUUCCCCUAGUAACGGCGAGUGAAGCGGGAAGAGCUCAAAUUUGAAAUCUUAAAGGGUUUCCCUUUACGAAUUGUAGUUUAAAGAAGUGUUUUCUGUAGAGGUUUUGGUAAAAGUUCUUUGGAAUAGGACAUCAUAGAGGGUGAGAAUCCCGUAUUUGACCUUUACUUUCAACUUUGUGAUACACUUUCAAAGAGUCGGAUUGUUUGGGAAUGCAGUCCAAAAUGGGUGGUAAAUUUCAUCUAAAGCUAAAUAUUGGCGAGAGACCGAUAGCGAACAAGUACCGUGAGGGAAAGAUGAAAAGAACUUUGAAAAGAGAGUUAAACAGUACGUGAAAUUGUCAAAAGGGAAGCGUUUGACACCAGUGUUGUUUUUCUGAAAAUCAAUUAAAGAACUGUUUAUGCUAAGUUGUUUAGACUUUAUCAGCUAUCUGUUUAGUUUUGAGCUUUUCUUUAAUGCACUUUUCAGUUAACAAGUCAACAUCAAUUUCUUUUGCUGUAAAAAAGCUUGAGGAAGGUGGCUUGAGAUUCGUCUUAAGUGUUUAUAGCCUCUUGCCUAUGCAGUCGGAGAGAUUGAGGUCUGCAGCGUAGAUCCUUCGGGGCUAAAUGCAUUUGUGCUAAGUUAUAGCAUUUUAUAGACAACUUGUUGACUAUGAUUUGUCUUGUAGCUUACUCGCUUAUGUUAUUUUACCUACGCUUAGGAUGUUGAAGACUCUACAGAGAUA